rnacentral:rRNA from 1 species
UGGGGAAUUUGGACAAUGGGCGCAAGCCUGAUCCAGCAAUGCCGCGUGCAGGAUGAAGGCCUUCGGGUUGUAAACUGCUUUUGUACGGAACGAAACGGUCUUUUCUAAUACAGAAGGCUAAUGACGGUACCGUAAGAAUAAGCACCGGCUAACUACGUGCCAGCAGCCGCGGUAAUACGUAGGGUGCGAGCGUUAAUCGGAAUUACUGGGCGUAAAGCGUGCGCAGGCGGUUUUGUAAGACAGAGGUGAAAUCCCCGGGCUCAACCUGGGAAUUGCCUUUGUGACUGCAUAGCUGGAGUGCGGCAGAGGGGGAUGGAAUUCCGCGUGUAGCAGUGAAAUGCGUAGAUAUGCGGAGGAACACCGAUGGCGAAGGCAAUCCCCUGGGCCUGCACUGACGCUCAUGCACGAAAGCGUGGGGAGCAAACA